UAGGGAAUCUUCGGCAAUGGACGAAAGUCUGACCGAGCAACGCCGCGUGAGUGAAGAAGGUUUUCGGAUCGUAAAACUCUGUUGUUAGAGAAGAACAAGGACGUUAGUAACUGAACGUCCCCUGACGGUAUCUAACCAGAAAGCCACGGCUAACUACGUGCCAGCAGCCGCGGUAAUACGUAGGUGGCAAGCGUUGUCCGGAUUUAUUGGGCGUAAAGCGAGCGCAGGCGGUUUCUUAAGUCUGAUGUGAAAGCCCCCGGCUCAACCGGGGAGGGUCAUUGGAAAGUGGGAGACUUGAGUGCAGAAGAGGAGAGUGGAAUUCCAUGUGUAGCGGUGAAAUGCGUAGAUAUAUGGAGGAACACCAGGGGCGAAGGCGGCUCUCUGGUCUGUAUCUGACGCUGAGGCUCGAAAGCGUGGGGAGCAAACAGG
rnacentral:rRNA from 1 species